UGGGGAAUUUUCCGCAAUGGGCGCAAGCCUGACGGAGCAAUACCGCGUGAGGGAAGAAGGUUCUUGGAUUGUAAACCUCUUUUCUCAAGGAAGAAAAAAAUGACGGUACUUGAGGAAUCAGCAUCGGCUAACUCCGUGCCAGCAGCCGCGGUAAUACGGAGGAUGCAAGCGUUAUCCGGAAUUAUUGGGCGUAAAGCGUCCGCAGGUGGCAUUUCAAGUCUGCUGUCAAAGACUAGAGCUUAACUCUGGGUAGGCAGUGGAAACUGGAAAGCUAGAGUCCGGUAGGGGUAGAAGGAAUUCCCAGUGUAGCGGUGAAAUGCGUAGAGAUUGGGAAGAACACCAGUGGCGAAAGCGUUCUACUGGACCGGAACUGACACUCAGGGACGAAAGCUAGGGUAGCGAAAG
rnacentral:rRNA from 1 species